rnacentral:rRNA from 1 species
UACGUAGGUGGCAAGCGUUGUCCGGAAUUAUUGGGCGUAAAGCGCGCGCAGGCGGUCCUUUAAGUCUGAUGUGAAAGCCCACGGCUCAACCGUGGAGGGUCAUUGGAAACUGGGGGACUUGAGUGCAGAAGAGGAGAGUGGAAUUCCACGUGUAGCGGUGAAAUGCGUAGAGAUGUGGAGGAACACCAGUGGCGAAGGCGACUACCUGGCCUGUUCUUGACGCUGAGGCGCGAAAGCUAGGGAGCAAACGGG